rnacentral:lncRNA from 1 species
AUGGAAAUACAGAAAUAUUCAUAUACCUUCAUUCCCACUAUGUUCAGUAAUUCUUUGUAUUUGUUGACUUGCUUAGGUCUGAGGCUGAGAAUAAGAAUGAAAACCUUCAGGCCGGGUGCGGUGGCUCACGUCUGUAAUCCCAGCACUUUGGGAGGCAAAGAUAGCCAGGAUACAACCAAUGUUACCGACUGGCAUAUUUUCAGGUUGGUUGGGCCUGUGCCAUACGGGCCAUUAAUAUUUUUAAAUACUAUCCUUGUCUAUAACCAUUAAUAAAAAUAAG